rnacentral:rRNA from 1 species
AUCUAUGGCCAUGCCACCCUGAAUGCACCUGAUCUUGUCUGACCUCAGAAGCUAAGCAAGGUCAGGCCUGGUUAGUACUUGGAUGGGAGACCACGUGGGAAUACCCGGUGUUAUAGGCA